AUUGAACGCUGGCGGCAGGCCUAACACAUGCAAGUCGAACGCGUGGCGGACGGGUGUGUAAUGUCUGGGACACUCCCCGAUGGAGGGGGAUCACUACUGGAAACGGUCGCUAAUACCGCAUACCAUCGGAUGUGCCCAGAUGGGAUUAGCUAGUAGGUGGGGUAACGGCUCACCUAGGCGACGAUCCCUCGCGGGUCUGAGAGGAUGACCAGCAAAACUGGAACGGAGACACGGUCCAGAAGCCUACGGGAGGCAGCAGUGGGGAAUAUUGCACAAUGGGCGCAAGCCUGAUGCAGCCAUGCCGCGUGUAUGAAGAAGGCCUUCGGGUUGUAAAGUACUUUCAGCGAGGAGGCGUUACUCGCAGAAGAAGCACCGGCUAACUCCGUGCCAGCAGCCGCGGUAAUAC
rnacentral:rRNA from 1 species